rnacentral:rRNA from 1 species
UCGGGAAUUUUGGGCAAUGGGGGAAAGCCUGACCCAGCAACGCCGCGUGAAGGAUGAAGUAUUUCGGUAUGUAAACUUCGAAAGAAUAGGAAGAAUAAAUGACGGUACUAUUUAUGAGGUCCGGCUAACUACGUGCCAGCAGCCGCGGUAAUACGUAGGGACCAAGCGUUGUUCGGAUUUACUGGGCGUAAAGGGCGCGUAGGCGGCAAUUCAAGUCAUCUGUGAAAUCUCCGGGCUUAACUCGGAACGGUCAGAUGAUACUGCUUUGCUAGAGUGCAGAAGGGGCAAUCGGAAUUCUUGGUGUAGCGGUGAAAUGCGUAGAUAUCAAGAGGAACACCUGAGGUGAAGACGGGUUGCUGGGCUGACACUGACGCUGAGGCGCGAAAGCCAGGGGAGCAAACGGGAUUAGAUACCCCAGUAGUCCCUGAGCGGGCUGGCAAGGCGCAU